rnacentral:rRNA from 1 species
GAUGAACGCUGGCGGCGUGCCUAAUACAUGCAAGUAGAACGCUGAAGCUUGGUGCUUGCACCGAGCGGAUGAGUUGCGAACGGGUGAGUAACGCGUAGGUAACCUGCCUGGUAGCGGGGGAUAACUAUUGGAAACGAUAGCUAAUACCGCAUAACAGUAGAUAUUGCAUGAUAUCUGCUUGAAAGGUGCAAAUGCAUCACUACCAGAUGGACCCGCGUUGUAUUAGCUAGUUGGUGAGGUAACGGCUCACCAAGGCGACGAUACAUAGCCGACCUGAGAGGGUGAUCGGCCACACUGGGACUGAGACACGGCCCAGACUCCUACGGGAGGCAGCAGUAGGGAAUCUUCGGCAAUGGGGGGAACCCUGACCGAGCAACGCCGCGUGAGUGAAGAAGGUUUUCGGAUCGUAAAGAUCUGUUGUAAGAGAAGAACGAGUGUGAGAGUGGAAAGUUCACACUGUGACGGUAUCUUACCAGAAAGGGACGGCUAACUACGUG